ACGUAGGGAGCAAGCGUUGUCCGGAAUUACUGGGCGUAAAGGGUGCGUAGGCGGCCCAUUAAGUCAGAUGUGAAAUACCCGUGCUUAACAUGGGGGGUGCAUCUGAAACUGGUGGGCUUGAGUGCAGGAGAGGAAAGCGGAAUUCCUAGUGUAGCGGUGAAAUGCGUAGAUAUUAGGAGGAACACCAGUGGCGAAGGCGGCUUUCUGGACUGUAACUGACGCUGAAGCACGAAAGCGUGGGGAGCAAACAG
rnacentral:rRNA from 1 species